rnacentral:tRNA from 1 species
GGGUAUAUAGCUCAGUGGUUAGAGCGUUCGGUUCACAUCCGAAAGGUCAAUGGUUCAAAUCCAUUUAUACCCA